UCGACCCCGCAUUCCCCCCGCGGUGGCUGGAUCGACCCUCGUUUCUCCCUCGUCUCACCAUUGGUUCGAUCCCCUUUCACCGGAGCCGUCCGCCUCCACGUCGUCGUCGUGGGGAGGUGCUGCUCCGUGUGUCCUCCCUCCUGAUCUCUCGAGCACCACCGGCUAUCUCCAUCGUGCUCUCUCCCGCAGCAGGCUGCCGAUCCCGGAUCCAGUGUCAUCUGGGUUUCCUCAUCAAUGAUAACAUCGGCUUGGCCUUCCUCGCGGCGGACGGGCGGAGGCGUGGCGGCAGCAGCGGCGGCGCAUCAGGAGCGACGUCGCAGCAGCACAUCGCCUCUCCACCACAGCUUCUCCUCUGAAGGCCACGCCUUCGGUCGUGAGCAGCUCUCUAUUAAUCUCACCAAAUAAUGGUGAUUUGCAGUUAUACUACAACCGCCAGCCUCUGCAGCCUAUCCAGCCCGCGUUGCUGUCGAAGGAGGAACCAUUGGAUCUCAUUGAGGAUUUAGAGUUUGAGAUACUCGACAGCUAGCAAUAAUAAGAGAUCGUGGUUGAUCUCCCUGAAUUCAUUAAUUUUCUUUCAUUACCCUACUACCAUUCACGUGGUGUGUAAACGGCGGCCUUAGUGGUGGUGACAAGUGCAGCUACUACGAGUUGGGCUUCCACAUCUAUGAUCUAAUAGCACUCGAUGCAAAAGCUAACAGCGCCUACCCAGCUUGAUAGUGGAUUGGAUUUAUUAUCAAACCUGAUAUGCUAUUUUGUCAAGGUCUUAUUAUGUGAUACACUAAUGGUAUUAUUUAUGGCAUUUUUUAGUCGAGAAGAGGUAAUUCCAAUCAAUAUGUUUCAGUCAUUUGCUCCUAUAUAAAAGUGUACUCCCAUCUCUGGGAGCAUAUACCGCCUUUCUAAUUUUUUAAGCUUUUGCUAAGUCAAGGCCUGCAGUUAAUUACAAGCUAUAUUUAGUAUACAUAGGAUGAUAUGCGGAAAUAAACUCGUUAUGCAGCUAUUUUUACGGUGUGACAUUUUCCCUUUUCAUAGUCAUUUUUGGUGCAGGAAUUGUUAAUUAACGCCGCCGCUUCUGUUUCGCCUCCGACCUGAAGCUGCAUGUUUUCUAUAUCCAAGAUGUAACCAUCACCACUCUAACACGAGAGUUGACCCCUUUUAUCUCUGUCAACGGCAUCAAUACCAGCAACCAACAGUUGGGUCGGCGCCUCGGCGGUAGAUACGCUGUCGGUAAAGUUGCUGCCCUCUACAUCACUAUGUUAUGAUGUUUGGUGAUUGUGGAUUUGGGUAUGAAGAUGCGGAGGCACGCACAAAUUUUUAUGCUUGGUUUGUAGGAAUUGUGUGUGCUGCCUAAUCAAUUGUCUCCAUACUGAUAGGAUCUGAACCAGUGGGAUUUAUACAUUUUGUCUAAUCCUCUUACGAAUUAUUUUUUGAUACAUGAGAAGAUGAUUAACAAGGUUAGUGGGUAAAUACCAAUCUUCUUAUUUAAAAGUGAAAAAUACUGUUGGUCUGGCAGUACAUUUUUCUGUAUAUGAUGGCUGAUGAAUAACCUGAGUUGUGAUGCUUGUGCGUUUGGCAUGGUGCAGCAAGAAUUCCUACUUGUGCUUUUCAAGAUUAGUAAGACCGAGGCUGAUCGUGUAAGUCCACAUUGCAUCUGUGUACUCGAAUUUGUUGUUUGUAUUGUACAAUUUAAAUGUCCUUUUUUGUAUUCUAAUGUAAUUACUGGAGUCACUAUCACUCUCACCCUCUUUUUUUCAUGUUACUUGACCUUGGAGAUAAAUAACACACUGUUUAACAUUAUGUAGGAGUCAUUUGCAGUGGACAAGAGGAAUCAUUGCACUCAAUAAUUAACAUUUUUUUCUUGUCUGUGAGGAGCAUAUCAUGAGCUUACUGUAGCAAGUGCCAUUAGGCUGCAUAGUCCAUCGUUGCAACUGCUGUUUUUGUGAAGCUUACUAUAGAUUAUAUGUUUCAGGUACAAAUCUGUUGGCUCAAGUACCAUCGGAGAUUUCAUCGGAUUAUUUGUGUCUCAAUGUUUCCCUAUUAAGAUCCAACAUGUAUGUGUGCCCUUUAUUGAUUGGAUAACCCAAUUAACUAAGGAGCCGUCUCUCUUUUUAGUAGGCUCUAAACAGUGUAAAUAGCAUUAUUAGCGAACACUGAUUGGAAAGGUAUGUAACACUCUUUCUCGCGGGCACCCGUGUCGUCCUCCUCCCUCCCCCCCGGGCGGCCCGGGCGAAACCCUAGCCAUCAGGAAGCUCGUCCUCCCAGAUCUCCUCCUCCCUCGCCGUCAGGCAAAGCCCGCGGGGCGACGGCGGAGGCGGGGCCCUUCGUUUUUCCCUCUGGCGAGGUCUUGGCAGUACGGGGCCGCCCGACCGAGGAGAGGCGUGGGGAGCUCGACGAGCCAGUGCCGGUGGACGCGUCGGGCGCGAAGUCAUGGUGCACGGCGGGCGUUGGCUGGCGCGGCGAGAUGUGCGGCGGGCGCGACAUGCUGGCGCCAUGGCGCUUGGCAGGGUGCGGCGGGCACGUGGGCGCGUUGCGGUUUGCUUAGGCUGGCAUCCGUGCGAUUGCUGCUCGUUCGCGUGCCGUGGGGAUGUAGGGCACUGCAGCUAGGCGGGCCAGAUUGGCCUCUCCCAGCUUGUGGCUAGAGUGCCUGGUGAGAGAUGGCUUCAGGUGCCAUUGAAUCAUGGAUGCGUUGCGCGUCUGGUUCGGCUGCCUUUGGCGUGUGGUGGCUGUAGCGGUGGUGUUGGGGAGUGGUGGUGGUGUCCCUCCUUCAAACGCGUCCACGCAUGGCUCCUAGAGCUGUGGCGCCAUCCAGUUUGUCAGGUGUUGCAUGAGUCUCGGACAGACCAGAUCCAGCAUGAAUGUUCCUUUUCUUGCAUGCGGCGACGGGAGCUGCGUAGUUUUGCUUGGAUCCCGCUUAGUCCUGCGCGCGGCGGUGCGGACCGGCUAUGUUUGGCUCUCCUUCGAGCUUUCAUGUGCACUGCGGUGCGGAGGAUUGCCCAGUUCUGCGCACGGAGGUCGAAGUUGGCCAGAUCCGGCUUGUCUCGCCCAAGCCAUGCGAGCGGCGGUGCGGACCAGUCAGGUUGGCGCAUGCUCGCGGAGUUUUCUGCGUCCGGCUUCGACCAUUUCGUUUCUGGUAGUGUUUGCUUGGUCUUGUGCUCCUACUUGGCGCUGGUGGCCUCGGAUCCCGGGAUUGUUGGUGGAAGGCCCGACUCCGGAUGAAAAUCUUGUAUCGACUCGGUCAUUGCCAGCGGUAAUGGCACCCUCGGGUGUCGUCUUCCUUGUUGGAGGUAACGUUGUGGAGUCGUUCGUCCUUCCUACCAAAUAGCGUGAGAUCUCCAGGUGAAAACCUAAGAUCAGGCAGGGCCAGAUCGGGUGACGACGGUGUCUUAAACAUCGUUUUCCUCCUUCGAGGCAUCACCUUGGAGAUCCCGACGAUGGAUUCUGAUGGUGUCCUCGAUUGAAGGUAGAGUAUGGGUUUGUGGUGUUGCGGGCGGGUCUUUUUCUUUCUUUUGUUUUUUGCGCUACCUUUUGCAGUGCUUUCCUCCUCGGAGGGCUCUUGUUACACCUUCUUUUGAUCAAUGAAUUUGGCAGUUCAACUAUCGACAUUAAAAAAAAGGUAUGUAACAUACUUUAUAUUUGAGUGAAAAAUACUCUUAAGUUUGAUUUUCACAUUGUGCUAACAUAAACUUUUAACUUUCAUUUUGACACUACGCUAAAAAAGAUAACUUGCUUAAUUACAAUGACCUAUGUUUUUGGAUUCAACCGUGCAUUUUGGCAUUGAUAACCUCAUAGUUGAACAACCUGAUGUGGCUGGUGCAACGAAAAAGACUCCAUCGAUCUCUGCGCCACCAUCAAAGACAUCGAGUGACUAUACCGCAUCACUAUCUGGGUAGAAAAGGUUCUUGAUGUGUUCGAACGAGAUCGUGGCAGCUCUUCCUGACCUGAUGAUGUGCUCUAUGCUCUUCCCUCGAAACAAAGACUUCCAUAUUAAUCCUUAUCACUAUUUUUUGGUGUGGCCUAAGGAACAAAAAAUACUUCUCCUGAUGGAGUAGCCCCAAAACACAACAUGCUGUACCGUACAGUGGUACUAAAAUCUUGCAUCUCCCGUAUGCUAAUUCUUAGUAUGAAUUUAUGCUUAAUUUAUGCUUAGUAUGAUUAGAUGGACAUAGAAGAAACUAGCGGGGGGAUGGCGCGGCGGCACGCCGCGCCCGUCAUUGAGAUUUGUUGAUAGUGAAUGGGAUGGCAAUUAUUAUUAUCAUUGUAUAUUUUAGGGUGCAUUUUAGGUGAACAAUAUUCGAUAUAUUUGGAUGAACGCGGGGAGCAUAACUUAGCUUUUACUUUAUAACAAGGUCAUUGGAGCUGACACAAUCAUACAUAGAAAUUCUAUGUAGCAUGGCAUUACAUCUAUGACGAUCAUAGAUUAAGUACAUCUAUGACGAUCAUAGAUUAAGGUUGUGCUUAUACAUAGGGGAUCAACUACGGAACAAACUGGUAGGCUACAGGCAGCCCAAGUGAUAGCUGUAGUUCAAAAGAGGCAGGAAGUUCAGAUGAAAAGAGGUACACAUAUGUUUACAAUACUAAGAACGGUGGUUCUUCAGUGUUGGGGUCUGCCAUGGUGGGAGCGUAGUUUGAUUUAUCUUAGAAUUUGGUGUGUGGAGCUCCUUCGUCACUUGGAUGGCAGUCGUUGGAGCUGACACAAUCAUACACAGAAUAGGUAGCAUGUCAUUACAUCUAUGACGAUCAUAGAUUAAGUACAUCUAUGACGAUCAUAGAUUAAGGUUGUGCUUAUACAUAGGGGAUCAACUACGGAACAAACUGGUAGGCUACAGGCAGCCCAAGUGAUAGCUGUAGUUACAAAGAGGCAGGAAGUUCAGAUGAAAAGAGGUACACAUAUGUUUACAAUACUAAGAACGGUGGUUCUUCAGUGUUGGGGUCUGCCAUGGUGGGAGCGUAGUUUGAUUUAUCUUAGAAUUUGGUGUGUGGAGCUCCUUCGUCACUUGGAUGGCAGUCGUUGGAGCUGACACAAUCAUACACAGAAUAGGUAGCAUGUCAUUACAUCUAUGACGAUCAUAGAUUAAGUACAUCUAUGACGAUCAUAGAUUAAGGUUGUGCUUAUACAUAGGGGAUCAACUACGGAACAAACUGGUAGGCUACACGCAGCCCAAGUGAUAGCUGUAGUUCAAAAGAGGCAGGAAGUUCAGAUGAAAAGAGGUACACAUAUGUUUACAAUACUAAGAACGGUGGUUCUUCAGUGUUGGGGUCUGCCAUGGUGGGAGCGUAGUUUGAUUUAUCUUAGAAUUUGGUGUGUGGAGCUCCUUCGUCACUUGGAUGGCAGUCGUUGGAGCUGACACAAUCAUACACAGAAUAGGUAGCAUGUCAUUACAUCUAUGACGAUCAUAGAUUAAGUACAUCUAUGACGAUCAUAGAUUAAGGUUGUGCUUAUACAUAGGGGAUCAACUACGGAACAAACUGGUAGGCUACAGGCAGCCCAAGUGAUAGCUGUAGUUCAAAAGAGGCAGGAAGUUCAGAUGAAAAGAGGUACACAUAUGUUUACAAUACUAAGAACGGCGGUUCUUCGGUGUUGGGGUCUGCCAUGGUGGGAGCGUAGUUUGAUUUAUCUUAGAAUUUGGUGUGUGGAGCUCCUUCAUCACUUGGAUGGCAUAUCUUGAGCCUUCUCUUGACCAGCUUCAGCUUUUUCUUGAUCACUUUCUUUUUCUUGAUCACUUUCGAAGGUGAAUUACUGCUUGGCGACGUGGCUGUUUAUAAUGAGGAAGUGCUAUGUGAGCAAUUAGUACAAAUAGUUGAUUGAAGAUCCUCUAAAAUGUAUGUUCUAACCUCUUUUUACGAUCAGGUGGUGAGAGUCCGUCCUUGUUUUGUUGUCUCUUCUUGCUUUGUGAAGUGGGCGUUUCGUCUAAUGACUGUAAGUAAGCAAGUGGAUUAAGUAAACUAAGAUGACUACUUGAAUACUUA